UAAACUGGAGGUGAGCAUGUGGGUGGAGGCACGCUGGAAAAUAGUUACAUGAUCAAUUUUUUCUACGAUACCUAUAACUGGGUGUUUAUUUUGGGGUAUUUCUUAGUAUAUGUGUAAGUCUAUAUCUUAAUAUAUGCUUUGUCGUUAGUAUAUUGCCUAGAUUAUUGGCAAAGGUGUGAUUUGAGAAAAGGCUGUUCUGUUGCUCUGACUUUCUGCAUCACAUUUAAAUGUAUGUUCUUACACACAGUUAAUUCCUCAGAAAAUAUUCAUCCAUGCUAUCAAGAGUUAGUCAUUGAAUUCCACUACAUAUUUCACUCUGGGACCUGUGCUACUGAGGGGAGGAAGAGAAACUCUGUAGAGAACAGCUAUGGCAGAUUUUUAUACUCUUUUGUACUGAAGAUGAAAGCUAAAAUUAUAAGUAAUGGUUUUUCAAUAUAAUGAGGACAAGUAUAAACUGAUUCCCUUCCAUAUCAUCUAUCAGCAUACUACAACGAUAGAAAUGACUGUCUAUAAUCAAGAAGGUAUUUCAUAUGGUUUGGGAGAGCUUUUUUCUUUCUCUUAAAUUUGUCCAUCUCUGCCAUCCCAGUAGGUAUUGGCUAGGAAGGAAGGAGAGGUAGUGGCUAGGAGAGGUGGAAACUGUAUACCCCAUGGAAAGUGAACCUGCCUUAGCUAGUUGUAGAACUGGACUUGCUCCAUCUUUACUGCAGGAUGAACCAAAUGCCAGGUAUCCAGUAUUGAUUAAGUUUCUGAAACACUUCGUUUUACAAAAAUUGUUUUCAUUCACAUAUCUUGGUGGGGUGGAAAGGGGUGGUGAGGAUUUCUUUUUUGUUUCUCUUAAUUUGGUAAUCUGAAGUUAAGGUUUUCAACUAAUACACACAUAAGGUCUUUCUUGGUUUGAGUUUCCUAAAUUGAAAAAAGUUAGAAGCAUGGUAAAGACAUUCCAGCUUUGUUUUGUGUCAUCACAAUGCAGUUGAUAAUCUUUAGAAGACCUCAUAAAGUAGUGUCAAUGUAUCUUUUCUUCCCAGUGUUUUCAGAAACCAAAGAGAUACUAACGCAGAUAACCAGGAAAGACUUGAAAGGGACAAGAAAAUGCUGGUUUACAGAACAAAUGGUUCAAUGGCUCCUGGCAGGAUCAGGCAGGCAGGUUCACUCCACAAUGGAGCAAUCACAGCUCAGCAAGCGUGUGACAAACUGAGGAAUUCCCAGAUGUUGCAAAGCAGAGUAAACUGAAGAUAAAAACUCUUCAAAAUUUCAUCAAAUAUGUAUCUACUUCAUUUGUUGUUUUUAGUGGGUAUGUUUGUAUGAUUAAUGUAUAGCUACUUCUAAUGAAGAGACAAAUACACUUCCUCUCCAAAAGCAGCAUUUUCUUAAUUAAGAAAUAUUUUAUUAAUUAUUAACCUCUGUUUCUGAGGGAGAAGUAAACAAUCUGUGGUCUCAUUUGUUCUGUAGCUGUUACCAAUACUGUGAUUGAUAUAUUAAUUGAUUUAACAUGGCAGCAGGCACAGAAAGCAGAGGUACUAAACACUGCCUGUGCUUUAGCCAUUCCCACCCAGACCUCUGCACUUAGAGAGACAGGUGAAGGAUAGAAAUAACCAGCAGUGGAUGGGCAAGAAGUCAGGGAGAUGGUAGACGACUUGAUCCAUGGGCCAAGAAGACAAGAUGGGCUGCACCUGAGGGUGGUGAGAGCUGGCUGAUGUCCAUGCAGGGUGAUGCCCCUAUAACCUCUGGGAGGUUGUGGGGCUCCAAGGAGGUCCCCAGAAACCAAAGAAAUGAAUGUGCUGCACCCAUUUUUUUCAAAAAAGCAAAAAGGUGAUCUGGGAAACUCCAGGCUGGUCAGCCUGGCUUUGGUCCCUGGGAAGAUCAUGCAGCACAUGGAGAAGAAGGUGACUGGAAGCUAUCAGCACGUGGG
rnacentral:lncRNA from 1 species